rnacentral:sRNA from 1 species
UUUUAGCCCAGAUGGGAGUAAAAAGCUUUUUGAAUUCCGUUUUUUAGUUUUUUUAUUCUUGCAAAGCGACUGAAAGAAGCUCUUGCAGGAAUUUAAAAAACUGAAACGGAAGAAAAAACUUGUAACGUACAGCUGGAUUGGCU